rnacentral:rRNA from 1 species
UACGUAGGGUGCAAGCGUUAAUCGGAAUUACUGGGCGUAAAGCGUGCGCAGGCGGUUUUGUAAGUCUGUCGUGAAAUCCCCGGGCUCAACCUGGGAAUUGCGAUGGAGACUGCAAGGCUAGAAUCUGGCAGAGGGGGGUAGAAUUCCACGUGUAGCAGUGAAAUGCGUAGAGAUGUGGAGGAACACCGAUGGCGAAGGCAGCCCCCUGGGUCAGGAUUGACGCUCAUGCACGAAAGCGUGGGGAGCAAACAGG